UAGUCAUAUGCUCAGCUCAAAGGCUAAGCCAUGCAUGUCUAAGUAUAAGGGCACUUGCCCGAAACUGCGAACGGCUCAUUACAACGGUCGUAAUUUGCACGGCCCUAUCCUCUUCUUUAGUCGGAUAACACUGGGAACCUAGUGCUAAUACGUGCGCCUAAUGGCCCUGCAGCUCGUCUGUGGGGUCAGGCGCCUAUCGGCAUCCUUUUACGGGGUGUGGCAAUGAAGUGACCAGCGCGGGGGCAACCCCGCUUUUCGGGUGAAGUCAAGAUAGGUCGUAGACCGUCGCAAGACGGCAGGCCGUAUAAGCGACCGCCCCAUCAUACUUUCAACCGUAGUAUAGGGGACUACGGUGGUGGUGACGGGUAACGGAGGAUUUGGGUUCGACUCCGGAGAAUGAACAUGAGAUAUGUUUCAUACUUCUAAGGAAGGCAGCAGGCGCGCAAACUACCCAAUCGACAACGUCGGAGGUGGUGACGAGCAGUACUAAGGGUGCCGGUUUUACGGUCCCGUAGAAUGAACGAUGCACAGAUACUACGCUGAAUGCAAGAAGAGGGCAAGUCUGGUGCCAGCAGCCGCGGUAAUUCCAGCUCUUCGAGCAUAUAUUAAAGUUGUUGCGUUUAAAACGCCCGUAGUUGAGAUUGCUUGGUGGGGGGAAGCGGGGAAGUCCCGGGAAGGGGACAGGAGAAAAGGAGAAAGGAGGGGUGCGACGCGCUAUGCAUACGCUCUCUAGCGGCAUGCCUGGGAAUAGGGCUAGGAGAGAAAGGAGUGGGGGAAGAGCGAGAGAGGGGAAAGUGUGUGCUCUUUUACUAGGGCAUUCUCAACCUCUCUCCCGCUGCAAAACUUCCCCUCUCUGGAACUUCCCUCUCUUGGGCAGCUGCACUGUAAGUGUGCGAGUGUGGAGCGCCUCUUUUUCCUGGUCUUCUACUGCCUUCCUCUCUGGGACCCCCCCUGCUGCCCCUCCCAUGUCUUUUGUUACCAUAAAGAAAUUGGAGUGUCUAUAGCAGGUCGUGCCCUUGUGGCUCAGGCCCCUGUACAUUGCAGUAUGGAAUAACAGUUCAGACCUGCGUCUGUCUGCUGGUCACGCCCCUGGGCGCGGAGUCAGGUAGUCCACUGGGCGAGGGAGUGCCUGCUGGGUCAGGUCGUGGGGGGUGGGUGCGGCGCUGCACGGUGUUGAGUCUGGCGUAGGUCUAACCGCUAUGGGGCAGGCGCAAGUCUGCUACCGGCGGCCUGCGACGUUCCUUCGUCCGUGUGGUUAGCUCACUCGCCGUUCCCUGCGGCCACAUUGGCCCAGUGGGGCCCCCGUUCGGGCUGUCCAGAUAACGUCUCGGGGGUCAGGUGUGGCGUUGAUGGUAAAUAGGGGCGGUUUCCGGGGGCAUAAGUAUUGGGCCGGGAGAGGUAAAAUUUUAUGAUCGGUCCACGACUACCAGAGGCGAAAGCGCUUGCCAAGGACGCUUUCAUUGAUCAAGGACGAGAGCUGGGGGAGAGAAGGAGAUCAGACGCCUCUGUAUUCCCAUGCUGUAAACGAUGCCGACUAGGUGUGGGGGGGCUGCUCGUCAAAGGCACCCUCCGUGCCCCGCGAGAAAUCUGUAAGUAUUCAGGUUACGGGGGGAGUAUGGUCGCAAGGCUGAAACUUAGAGGAAUUGACGGAAGGGCACCACAAUUGGCGUGGAGCCUGCGGCUUAAUUGGAUUCAACGCCGUUAACCUUACCAGGCCCUGACUCACACGGGAUUGACAGGAUGCAGUUCUUUCGUGAUUGUGAGAGUGGUGGUGCAUGGCCGUUCUUAGUUCGUGGUGUGAACUGUCUGCUUAAUUGCGAUAACGGACGAGACCUCUGCCUGGUGACUGAGUGCCGGGGGGGGGAGUCCGGUGGUGGGUGUCAGAACAAAAGGGGACGCCAACAAGAGAAGGACUAGAAAAAAAAAAGGGGGAAACACGGUGCCUUGUGCAUUGCAUGUCCUAACAAGAGAUGUGCGUGUGCUGGGCGUCUUCCCCUUCUUUUCUGGCGCUUCUCUGGUGGCCCUCUGGGACGCACCACUGCAGAACCCCCCGCGCUACUCCUUCACAGGGACUAUUGCUCAUAAAGCGCCGGAAGCGUGAGGCAAUAACAGGUCAGUGAUGCCCUUAGAUGCCUUCUAUUGGGUUGCACGCGUGCUACAAUGGCGGGUGCAGUGUGUGGAGGCCAAGCCCGAGAGGGUGCGGCAAUCCUGCGAGGCCCCGUCGCGGUUGGGAUCGUCCCUUGCAAUUAUUGGUCGUGAACUAGGAAUGCCUCGUAAGCGCGUGUCAGUGAUCGCGCGCUGAAUGCGUCCCUGCCCUUUGUACACACCGCCCGUCGCUCCUACCGAUUGGAUGUUGCGGCGAGUUGUCCGGAGGACGCGCCUCGGCGUGGCCCGAAGUUCUGCGAGCCCCAGCAUCUAGAGGAAGGAGAAGUCGUAACAAGGUUUCU
rnacentral:rRNA from 1 species